GCCCGGCUAGCUCAAUCGGUAGAGCGUGAGACUCUUAUAAGGAGUACUCCGGUAUUAUCUCAAGGUUGUGGGUUCGACCCCCACGUCGGGCU